rnacentral:rRNA from 1 species
CAGUCGCCGCGGUAAUACAGAGGGUGCGAGCGUUAAUCGGAUUUACUGGGCGUAAAGCGUGCGUAGGCGGCUUCUUAAGUCGGAUGUGAAAUCCCUGAGCUUAACUUAGGAAUUGCAUUCGAUACUGGGAAGCUAGAGUAUGGGAGAGGAUGGUAGAAUUCCAGGUGUAGCGGUGAAAUGCGUAGAGAUCUGGAGGAAUACCGAUGGCGAAGGCAGCCAUCUGGCCUAAUACUGAUGCUGAGGUACGAAAGCAUGGGGAGCAAACAGGAUUAGAUACCCCCGUAGUCCCUGUCUCUUAUAC